rnacentral:lncRNA from 1 species
UGAAUUAAAGUUUCUCAAUUUUUUUUGAUUUAGCGCUAUAUUUUUCUUUUUUUUUAGAUUUGAAAAAGAUAUGUUCUUAACAAUAUAAAAUGUAGAAAAUUAAAUAGCAGAAAAUAUAAAUGACACAAGGUAACUUUCCCUUGUAAUCAAAAGUAUAUCUAGUCCCUUAACAUCCUGAAUGAUUUUUCAUUGUAUUAGAUCUUUG